rnacentral:misc_RNA from 1 species
CCACAGCAGAGGGAGGCCAGUGGCCAACGAGCCUCGGUAGUAAUCGCUCGUCUCACGUUUCUUCUUCCCAAGUCGCCAAGGAACAAUAACUAUCUAUACAUCUACAUAACACAUCAUAUAUAUAUACAUAUAUGUAUAUAUAUAUAUAAAUAUAUAUAUAUUUAUACAAUAUACAUACCCAUAAAAGUAAAUAAUAAUAAACCUAGUUAAAUAAUCCAGUGAUAACAUUAAAAAAUUCCUUGAGAAAAAAAAAUUAGUCUCGGAAGUAGUGUCCGCGUAUGCGUGAAGAAAAUCGUGUUUAAAUCGGUAAUCAAUCAGCUAAUCAGUCCACUCCCUCCCGAGUAGAGUGUUUUCCGCCCAAAAGACUCUUUCUACACCAACGCCAAGCUCUGUCUACACCUAGUGCUCCAGUGAGUCCAUGUGCAGAACUAUUAUUAUAAAUAAACUAUUCAGUGACUAAUAAAUAAAUAAAUAGCAAUAUUAUAAAUAAUAAAUAAAAAUAGUGAUACUUAAAUCUAAGUUAAAAAAAAAUUAUUUUAUACUUGCAUAAAAUAAUUUAAUUAUUAUUCCACCAGUGUGCGCUACGACGUUUGGUAACAAAACAAAAAAAUCAAGCUUGAGGACACUGGCCCCAAGUACUUGACAAUUAAAAUUUUCUUCUUCCUGAUUCUCAAUUUUAAAUUAUUUUUUUUAUCACAGAAGAAAUCAUUUAAUUUUUGCACCUGGAAAAAAAAAAAUCAAAGAAGAAACGGCGACUGGUUGAUGAGCCGACGGAUCAACGGAGCAAAUAUGCGCGAGUGUUGGCACAGUUGACCUAACCUAUGAGUCUUAAAAGAUUAGAAUUGGUUUUAUUGAAGAAAUAAAAUAUUUUACCAGGUUAGUUUUAAUUUGUCAGUGAUUUAUUAUUAUAAUUUUAUUUAUUUCUUCUUAAGGACAUUUUGUAAUUAGAACUGCGGUUUUUAAAUUAAUUAAUUAAUUAAUUAAUUAAUUAAUACUCCUGGUGAUGUGCGAUGAGAAAAUCUAGAGUGUGAGUCAACCGGUGAUAGAUUAAUUGGUUAGUCAUUGAUAGGACUAAAGAAAGAAGAAAGAAGAAAUAGAUAGAGAGUUUUAGUUUGAGUUUCGUUGCUUGGUCUUCUGGUCCUGUUCCUGGUGAUCGGUGAUUUAGAAGACAUCCUAGGGCAGAGGACCCCUAGGAACACUUGAUGGCAGUAGUGGGGCCAAGCCGGCACUCAAGAGUGUCCAUGAGCGUGUCGAUGUCGCUGAUGCAGGGGGCUGCUCCAGUCGGUGGAUCCGCUGGGAACUCCGGAACCCACGGGCAGCCGGUGUCUAACUAUUAUCACCCAGCGGCUCCUGCUCCUCAGCCCCAGGAGCCAUACCAGCCGGACAAGGCUAUUGGAUAUGGAGCUUUUGGCGUCGUUUGGGCUGUGACUGAUCCACGUGAUGGAAGAAGAGUUGCUUUAAAAAAGUUACCAAAUGUCUUUCAAAGUCUUGUGAGCAGCAAACGCGUGUUCCGGGAACUCAAGAUGUUAUGCUUCUUCGAACACGAUAAUGUACUGUCAGCUCUGGAUAUCUUGCAGCCGCCGCACGUCGAUUUCUUCCAAGAAAUAUAUGUGAUAACGGAGUUGCUUCAAAGCGAUCUUCACAAGAUAAUCGUCAGCCCACAGCACCUCAAUCCGGAGCACAUCAAGAUCUUCCUCUACCAAAUUUUGCGGGGAUUAAAGUAUCUCCACUCGGCCAGGAUUCUUCACCGUGAUAUAAAGCCGGGUAAUCUCCUGGUAAACAGCAACUGCGUGCUGAAGAUAUGCGACUUUGGGUUGGCAAGAGUCGAGGAGCCAGACAGGAACAAAUACAUGACCCAGGAGGUUGUCACGCAGUACUACCGCGCACCGGAGAUUCUUAUGGGUGCUCGUCAUUACACCGCUGCUGUGGAUGUCUGGAGCGUUGGGUGCAUCUUUGGCGAGCUUUUGUGCCGGCAGAUUCUCUUCCAGGCUCAGAAUCCUGUCGAGCAGCUUGACAUGAUAACGGAACUGUUGGGCACGCCGAAGAUAGAAGACAUGCGAUAUGCCUGCGAGGGCGCUAGGAUGCACAUGUUGAGAUGCCCACCAAAACGUCCUUCCUUGACGGCGCUGUAUACUCUGGGCAGUCAUGCCACUCACGAAGCCGUUCAUUUACUCUGUCAGAUGCUCGUCUUCGACCCCGACAAGAGAAUCACCGUCGUUAACGCCCUGGCGCAUCCUUACCUCGAGGACGGCCGCUUGAGAUACCACUCGUGCAUGUGCACGUGCUGUUAUGACACCAACUCAGGCCUGAGACAGUACACGCCGGAUUUCGAGCCUUCGACGGCUUAUCCUUUUGACGACUUGUGGGAGCGUAAGCUUAAUAGUGUCCAGCAGGUCAAAGAGGAGAUGUACCGAUUUAUCGCGGAGCGAUUGGAUACACCGCGUGUACCUCUGUGCAUAAACCCGCAGUCCGCGGCAUUCAAAAAUUUCGCAAGUUAGAGCAAGUGAGCCACCAAGCCAGCAACUACGUGCGCCGCGUAUAUGUGUACAUACACAAUUACUUCUACUACUACUACUACCGCUACUACUACUAUCCAUAUGAGCUAUCUACCGCUGUUGUCAACUACUAUCGUCUACUUACGUCUCCUCCUCAACUAAAUGAUCCGAUACGAGAUAAAUCAGCUAUAGUUGGCACAACCUCGCUCGCAGAGUUCAACAGUGGCGCACCCUUCAGAACUGCCGCCGUCGCCCCACCAGUGGGAAUAAGAACCGCCAUCUUGUCGGCAUAUUAAACUCGAGUGUUCUCGGAGAAACAAACCGCCUAAAAGGACCCUUGGACUGUCCUUUGAAUCAAUAUAACCAGAGUUUAUCAUUAGAUCAUCUUCGCUGCACCAAAAUUUAAAAAAAAACAAAGUUAUUACGGGAAGAAGCCGCAAUACGUUCAUGAUCAGUUCAUGAAGGAGAGCCAAGAGAGACAAUAGACUGCCGAGUACUUGUAGCUUCGAUUUAUUUCAUACUAGCUGAUUUAAUGAUAAUAAUAAUUAUUAUUAUUAUGAUUAAUAUUAUUAAUUAUUACUGUAACUAUUGCUUAAGCAAAUUAGUAGUCUUAUCUGGUUCUGUUUAAAUAGAUGAAACGAGUACAUAAGACUGGGGAAUUAAAAAAAUUAAAAGGGUAGCUAAUUUUCGAUUCCUAAGUAGACAGUUUGUAACAACGAGGCCAGUUUUUACACUAACUUAGGUUUCUUAUCUUAAUUAUUUGUCAACAAUACUUAUUAUUGAUAUUUAAAGGCGUACGUAAUUUAAAGCUGGCGAGUUUUUAACUUCAAUUAUUGUAGCUUUAUUCAUUUUAUUAAUUAAGGUUAAGAGCGCAUUCGAUAAAGUUUUUUUUUAUAAUUAAAUAAUAAAUUAGACUUAGCGCCCUCGGUGGUUUAAAGUUGUACUUAUUUUAAGUCUUCUGACAUUGAAAAAAAAUGCAUUUUUUUGUCUAUUAAAUAAAACUAACCUCAAAUUUUGGGUUAGUUUUUAUUAGAGAAGAAAUAUUAAAUUAAAAAAAGAGUAAGUAUGACUUGUUAAUUCUGACAGCAGAAAUUUUUGAUAAAUUAAGGUUAAAAAUUCUUCAGAGGGCGUUAGUUCCUCACGUUUAACAAAGUUGCAUUUUUCCAGAAAUUUAUUUACAUUCAAAGAGAUCCAUGCGAAG